UACGAAGGGGGCUAGCGUUGUUCGGAAUCACUGGGCGUAAAGCGCACGUAGGCGGAUUGUUAAGUGAGGGGUGAAAUCCCGGGGCUCAACCCCGGAACUGCCUUUCAUACUGGCAAUCUCGAGUUCGAGAGAGGUAAGUGGAAUUCCGAGUGUAGAGGUGAAAUUCGUAGAUAUUCGGAGGAACACCAGUGGCGAAGGCGGCUUACUGGAUCGAUACUGACGCUGAGGUGCGACAGCGUGGGGAGCAAACAGGAUUAGAUACCCUGGUAGUCCACGCCGUAAACUAUGAGAGCUAGCCGUUGGCAAGUUUACUUGUCGGUGGCGCAGCUAACGCAUUAAGCUCUCCGCCUGGGGAGUACGGUCGCAAGAUUAAA
rnacentral:rRNA from 1 species